rnacentral:rRNA from 1 species
UAGAGUUUGAUCAUGGCUCAGAUUGAACGCUGGCGGCAGGCCUAACACAUGCAAGUCGAGCGGUAACACAAGGGAGCUUGCUCCUGAGGUGACGAGCGGCGGACGGGUGAGUAAUGCCUAGGUAUCUGCCCAGUCGAGGGGGAUAACAGUUGGAAACGACUGCUAAUACCGCAUACGCCCUACGGGGGAAAGGAGGGGACCUUCGGGCCUUUCGCGAUUGGAUGAACCUAGGUGGGAUUAGCUAGUAGGUGGGGUAAUGGCUCACCUAGGCGACGAUCCCUAGCUGGUCUGAGAGGAUGAUCAGCCACACUGGAACUGAGACACGGUCCAGACUCCUACGGGAGGCAGCAGUGGGGAAUAUUGCACAAUGGGCGAAAGCCUGAUGCAGCCAUGCCGCGUGUAUGAAGAAGGCCUUCGGGUUGUAAAGUACUUUCAGCGAGGAGGAAAGCUCAAUUGUUAAUAGCAGUUGGGUGUGACGUUACUCGCAGAAGAAGCACCGGCUAACUUCGUGCCAGCAGCCGCGGUAAUACGAGGGGUGCAAGCGUUAAUCGGAAUUACUGGGCGUAGAGCGUACGCAGGCGGUUUGUUAAGCGAGAUGUGAAAGCCCCGGGCUCAACCUGGGAACUGCAUUUCGAACUGGCAAACUAGAGUCCUGUAGAGGAGGGUAGAAUUUCA